GACAGAGGGGGCAAGCGUUGCUCGGAAUUACUGGGCGUAAAGCGCGUGUAGGCGGUCCGGCAAGUCCGCUGUGAAAGUCGGGGGCUCAACCCUCGGAUGCCGGUGGAUACUGUCGGGCUUGAGUACGGAAGAGGCGAGUGGAAUUCCUGGUGUAGCGGUGAAAUGCGCAGAUAUCAGGAGGAACACCAAUGGCGAAGGCAGCUCGCUGGGACGUUACUGACGCUGAGACGCGAAAGCGUGGGGAGCAAACAGG
rnacentral:rRNA from 1 species